UUGGAGGGCAAGUCUGGUGCCAGCAGCCGCGGUAAUUCCAGCUCCAAUAGCGUAUAUUAAAGUUGUUGCAGUUAAAAAGCUCGUAGUUGGAUUUCGGGGUCAGUAGGUUGGUCAUGCCACUGGUAUGUACUGGUCUCACUGAUUCCUCCUUCCUGAUGAGCCGUAAUGCCAUUAAUUUGGUGUUGCGAGGAAUCUGGACUGUUACUUUGAAAAAAUUAGAGUGUUUAAAGCAAGCUAACGCUUGAAUACAUUAGCAUGGAAUAAUGAAAUAGGACGUUCGAUCCUAUUUUGUUGGUUUCUAGGAUUGACGUAAUGAUUAAUAGGGAUAGUUGGGGGCAUUAGUAUUCAAUUGUCAGAGGUGAAAUUUUUGGAUUUAUUGAAGACUAACUACUGCGAAAGCAUUUGCCAAGGAUGUUUUCAUUAAUCAAGAACGAAAGUUAGGGGAUCGAAGACGAUCAGAUACCGUCGUAGUCUUAACCAUAAACUAUGCCGACUAGGGAUCGGAUGAUGUUAAUUUUUUAAUGACUCAUUCGGCGCCUUACGGGAAACCAAAGUGUUUGGGUUC
rnacentral:rRNA from 1 species